rnacentral:lncRNA from 1 species
GGGGUCUCUUUUAUAGACGGGAGAGCAUAACCGAUUGACAGCGACAUCCAUAAUUGCCUGGUAGUGGGCCGUUCGGGGCCACGUGGAGUUUGUUAAGGAGAGUAGUAGUGUCCGUUGUCGUGACUUGCCGGAGAGUGAUGGGGCCACGUAGAGUUUGUUACAGAGAGUGGAGUGGUGUCCGUUGUUGCGACUUGCCAGAGAGUUCGGGCCGGACGACUGAAGCUCGGUUGGGAUGUCUGGUGGAGCGGAAUAGCUCUCUGUCUCAGCAAUCUAAGAGAAGCUUGGAUGUUUUUGAGG